rnacentral:rRNA from 1 species
GUAGGUGGCAAGCGUUGUCCGGAAUUAUUGGGCGUAAAGCGCGCGCAGGCGGUCCUUUAAGUCUGAUGUGAAAGCCCACGGCUCAACCGUGGAGGGUCAUUGGAAACUGGGGGACUUGAGUACAGAAGAGGAAAGCGGAAUUCCAAGUGUAGCGGUGAAACGCGUAGAGAUUUGGAGGAACACCAGUGGCGAAGGCGGCUUUCUGGUCUGUAACUGACGCUGAGGCGCGAAAGCGUGGGGAGCAAACAGGAUUAGAUACCCUGUAGUCCACGCCGUAAACGAUGAGUGCUAAGUGUUAGGGGGUUUCCCGCCCCCUUAGUGCUGCAGCUAACGCAUUAAGCACUCCGCCUGGGGAGUACGGCCGCAAGGCUG